rnacentral:rRNA from 1 species
CAGGUUAAUUAAAUUAACUUAAUUAUUUAAUAAUCUCGAAUUUAAAAGAGUUAAUUAUUUAUUAAUUUUAUUGUAAAAUAAAUAUUUAUAAUAAAUAAUUUGUAAUGAAAUGUUAUUCGUUUUUAAAUAUAUCUAGUUUUUAAAGAAAAAGAUUUAAUUUUACAUUUAAAGAUUAAUUUUUUAAAUUAUUAAUAAAUUAUUGUUAAAUAUAAAGUUUUUUAGGGAUAAGCUUAAAAAAUAAUAUUCAUAAUUUUAUAAAAUAAGAAUAAAUUAUAGGAAUAAAAGUUUCUAUAGAUAGAAUAAUGUUAUAAUUGAUUAUUUUAAAAAUUUUAUUUUUAGUGAGUUUGAAUUUUUUAUUUAAAUAAAUUAAUAAAUUAUUAUUUAAUAGAAAUAAUGAUUAAAUUAGUAAAAAAUAUUUUAAAUAGUAUAAAGAAUUUAAAGGUAAAUUUAAGGAAUUCGGCAAAAUAAAUUUUUCACCUGUUUAAUAAAAACAUGUCUUUUUGUUAAUAAUUUAAAGUCUAAUCUGCCCACUGAAAAUUUAAAUGGCCGCGGUAUUUUGACCGUGCAAAGGUAGCAUAAUAAAUAGUUUUUUAAUUGAAAGCUGGAAUGAAUGAUUGAAUGAGAAAAUAACUGUCUCAAAUUUAUUUUUUUUGAAUUUUAUUUUUAAGUAAAAAAGCUUAAAUAAUGUUAGAAGACGAGAAGACCCUAUAGAGUUUAAUAAAUUUAUAUUUAUAAAUAAAUAGUUUUUAUUAUUUAAAGUAAAAUUUUUAUUUAGUUGGGGUGAUUAAAAAAUUAAAUUAACUUUUUUUUAUUAUAAACAUUAAUUUAUGAAUUUUUGAUCCAGAUUUUUUGAUUAAAAGAAUAAAUUAC